rnacentral:rRNA from 1 species
UGGGGAAUAUUGCACAAUGGGCGCAAGCCUGAUGCAGCCAUGCCGCGUGUGUGAAGAAGGCCUUCGGGUUGUAAAGCACUUUCAGCGAGGAGGAAGGUGGUGAGCUUAAUACGCUCAUCAAUUGACGUUACUCGCAGAAGAAGCACCGGCUAACUCCGUGCCAGCAGCCGCGGUAAUACGGAGGGUGCAAGCGUUAAUCGGAAUUACUGGGCGUAAAGCGCACGCAGGCGGUUUGUUAAGUCAGAUGUGAAAUCCCCGGGCUCAACCUGGGAACUGCAUUUGAAACUGGCAAGCUAGAGUCUCGUAGAGGGGGGUAGAAUUCCAGGUGUAGCGGUGAAAUGCGUAGAGAUCUGGAGGAAUACCGGUGGCGAAGGCGGCCCCCUGGACGAAGACUGACGCUCAGGUGCGAAAAGCGUGGGGAGCAAAACAGGAUUAGAUACCCUGGUAGUCCACGCUGUAAAACGAUGUCGAUUUUGGAGGUUGUGCCCUUGAGGCGUGGCUUCCGGAGCUAACGCGUUAAAUCGACCGCCUGGGGAGUACGGCCGCAAGGUUAAAACUUAAAUGAAUUGGCGGGGUCAUAGCUGUUUCCU